UAAAAUGAGAGUUUGAUGCUGGCUCAGGACGAACGCUGGCGGCGUGCCUAAUACAUGCAAGUCGAACGCAAUCUUUUAACAAUGGGUGCUUGCACUCAGCGUUUUAAGUGCGAGUGGCGAAC
rnacentral:rRNA from 1 species